rnacentral:lncRNA from 1 species
UCCCCCCUCCGAUUGCCGUUACUUUCUCAUCCCCGGUCAUGCCGGGACAAUAUCCUCCUCGGCAUUUACAACCUCCAUCCAAGCCCCCUCGGACCCUAUUGAACCAUCCAUCACCACCAUCACCACCUCCACCUCCACCCUCACCCAGACCUCCCUCUCCACCCAGACCUCCUCGUUCAUCACCCACUCCUCCUCCAACACCGCCGUCUCCGCCGUCUCCACCAUCUCCCAGACCACCCCGUCCAUCCCCCAGGCCCCGGGUCGCCCCGGCCACCACCAGAUGGGCUUCCUCCACCAUCAACUAGUACAUCCUCACCCUCGCACUCCAACAGGCGUCCAUGGCCUUCCCCGUCGCCCCUCUGGCCGAUUUCCGUAUAUAUACAGCCGCCUCUCAACCCUCGACGUUCAUCACGCUUUCUACCCUUGCCUCUAAGACCGCCUCCAAGACUUUCUUUCCCUCCACCUACACCGCGCCCACCAAACACUGCCACCUUCUCCACCCUCUCCACCACGGCCCAGACCCCCUCAGCUACAGCCGAUGCCAAGCAGGUCUCCACCGAUGUCCGCAAGAGCAGCCUGGCCCUCAUCGCCACCUACACCUCCUCGACUGCUACCCUACUCACCUCGCCCAAUACCACCUCCCAGUAAUGCAAGAGCGCCUCUACCACCAUUAUUACCACCCAAGCCACCAUCGCCUCGAAUAGUAUAAAACCUCACUAUCAUCAACACCUGUCACACCACGCUGUAUGUUAUACUGUCUUCUCUUGUCAAGGCUGCUAUUGGUACACCACCAUCAGCGCCUGGUACCUGUGGCAUCUGGCAGUGCAUGCGAUCACCCAGAUCUAGAGGGCCCAGUCAUCACCCGACUACCCCCGGGGUCAGAGGAAUGCUGCCUUUUCCGUAAUUUCAAUGAUUUCUGGCAUUGACGGAUGUUGUGCUCAGCAGGUGCUGUGUUUGGUGGUAAUGUUGCGGACCUUAUUUUGGUGGUAGAUUUUAUUUUGGUGGUAGAUUUUAUUGGAUGCUGGUGGUGGGUGCGGAACCCAAACGAUUCACUGAGAAGUUGACUAGGGUGACUAGAUGAGGAUGCCCCGAAAUAUCGGGGAAGGCAGGGUUUCGCCGGGUAGAGGCCACGGGUGAAGAGAUGCUUGCCUGUCCAACACAUCAUACCAUACAUGCAUGCACAGGUUAUAUUAGCCGAGCUAGACAAGCCGUAAGUUGUGGGCCGGCGACCUGUGGAAUGAGAUACUUUGAAGCUCAAGUUCUUUCCAUCUGCUCCUCUCUAUGGCUGUGAGAUCGGGAGACCUGGUGCUUUAGAUGACGCGCUGGCACGAUCCAGUAUUAAGCACAGUGACCGUAGCAUAAGAUCUACACUACAGAGUCAAUACUUACAAUAUUGCAGCAUCUAAGGUGUGUGUGUGUGUGUGUGUGUGUGUCGUGUGUUGUGGGUGCGUUCCCCGUAAUUGCAAACCGCCCUAAUAGGAGCCGAGGGCUCAAGGGCUGCCAGAUCGCCUAGAAGCACCGACCUACCUCGCACGUCAGACAAAUCAAGUGAUAAUUGAGACUAACGACCAAAGGGAACGAUAGAGUUGCGGUGGGGCCACAUACGUUCCAGCAUCCUUGCCAAGCGUUCAGGUUCCCACUUCAUAGCGUCCUUCAUAUUCUCGACGCGUGGAAAAUCCAUAUCAGAUUAUUUUUUUCGUACACCGGACGGUCCAGCAAAACGUGCUUCUCAUCUUCAAUAUGGCUAUCAUUGCCGCAGCAGGGGCAUACUCGCUCCUCCCUAGGUAUACAACGCCGUCCCUUACACGCUCUGUUAGCCGAGACCUGUUAGUUCUCUGUUUUUGUCUUUUUUCCGCUUGUGUCCGCUCCGGGAUGUUGUGGGACCAGUUGCGGUCAUGGGCUUUCAGGGGGAGUUUACGGGGGUGUGGAUGCAUGCCCUGCUGAAGGUGGCAUCAGGCCCUCUAUGGAUUUGUUUGGCGAUGGCCCCACUGAUCUGAGGGGCGGCUCUGGCGGUGAUCGUGACAGCGACUCAAACGGCGGAGUGCUUGCAGGUGCACGUGCUAAGUAAGCAAGGCGGGCAGACACUUUGUCUAUCUGUCUGUCCGUGUUAUAAUGGCUACCCGUACUGCUACGGCCUUUAAUCCAGAUGCCGCUGCAGGCGUUUUGGUCUCAGUGGUUUUAAGAAAAAACGCACAUCCGCAAAGCUCGUUUGCAAGGGCUCCCGGUGUGUUUUCGAGGGAAGAAUGAGGGGAUAUGGGAUAUGUGGGAGGUGGAAUGGGAAUCCCUUUGUUCGCUGUAGGUUAGAGGAGGACGAGGACAAAUCUCCCCAAUCUCGCCAAUUCGUGAUUUGAAUGCCCCACUGUGUGUGGAGUCUCGAUUCGUUAUUUGACAAUCGGCUUGUGGGGGGCGCCUGGGGAGGGUGUGGCUUGUCGGUGGACCGGAAAGCAGGGUUGAGACCCAUGGGUCAGUGAGCCACUUGUGUAAGCGUUAUGAAUACAACCCAUAAGUCCGAGAGAUCUCAGGUCAGGUCACGGAGGGCAAGAUAGGCCAACAUUGGGGAUGCAUGGGUGAAGGAGCUUGCCCGGAGCCAUGACUAGGGAGCAAUGUGUAGAUGCGAUGUGUGGUGUAUGGAACAGGAGGGUAUAUCUUCACCCGUGGGAGCUACCCUGCGAAACCCUGCCUUCCCUGGUAUUUCGGGGCACCCUCAUCCAGUCACCCUAGUCAUCUUCUCAGUGAAUAGUUCAGGCUCCACACCCACCACCAGCAUCCCACGGAAUCUGCCGGAUCGCCAAUGGCCUGACUCCAUUCCUGCUCGGCACGCAGAAUGAUCUUAUCCCUGGUCACAUCAGUCCAUCAACUUGGGGUACUUCACCUUCCAUUCUUGGAAGGAGUUCCGAUACUGAGAGGUCUCGAUCCCGGGAUCUCUCGGGGGCAAUGGUCGUGCCUUACCAGUAGUGCCUAAUAGUAUACAUGUACUAGUUACAUAUCAAUCCGUGCCUGAUGCUGCCCAGGGGCACCUAACCGUAACCCAACAGGAAAGACCGCCGAGGCACUCUCCCCCUUGUCGGGGAAGAGGGGCAUGAGGGGCCACUAUUAUCUCCUUCCCGACCACGGGCGUGCACCCCCUUUUUGUCAAGAGGAAAGAGAGCGCGGUGGCUACCAAGGCCCUCAAACAGCCAACCUUUGCACACGCUGCGGCACAGUUCCGCCCAUGCAGCCUGCGCCUUGAGCAGGCUUGGUGUUGUAUUCCGCUUCUUAAAUCUGGGCCCAAACUGAUACAUUUUUCUGGUUCAUUUUUCCUUUCUCGCUUGGCGCGGUUGAUGGACAAGUUCGCUGGAACUAACUGAAUUCCAACUGCCUAUUUUGCCGCCUUUCUGUCAGAUCUUUAUGGCUCCGACCUCUGGGUCAGCCGGCGAGCGGGACGCUGUCAUGGAUGCCUACAAGUAAACGCCGCCUCAGGCGGAAGUCCAUACUUGCAGAAGUAUGGGCGGGGGUCGUAGCACAGGCUACGACUGGGACGCUCGGGCUAGCGGCCAGUGGAGCUCUUCAAAUAGCAAACCAUGUAAGCAUGGGAAUAAUAUUACACACUAACAAAGUUCAGCGCGACAGACAACUCAAACUUUCUCGCCAGCUCGCGCGAUAACCUCAAUAACAAUCGCUCCUAACAAAAGGAACAGCGUAAAAAAUAAUACAGCAAAGAAAACGGUACCUGAGUUCCACUCAGUUCCGCUCAGUUUCGGCCCCACACGAACUCACGGGAACUGAGCCGAACUGAGAUCCCUCGCACCCCAACGGUCACCCGUCUUCCAAACAUGCCGUCCUGCUCCCCCCAAUCAUCCCCGCUUCUUGCGACCCCUCUUAAGCUCGCUGAAAGCGUCGGGGCUAAGGUCUUCGGCAAGCUGCUUGGCAGGAAUCCAGUACAAUGUCUUGUCCCCUUAGAAUCUGACUUGGUACUCCUGCUUGCCUGCCUUGUUAAACCUGCUGCCUUCGAACCUGCUUACCUCCACGUGCUCCUCGCCGUCUAUCGCCUCCUUCUUGGCCUUCCUGCUUCGCUUCCCCUUCUUGGGCUUGGCUUUGGGAGCCUCCUUGCCCUCUGCUUCCUCUAUCUUUGCCUCAGCAUCCCCAUACCUCUUACCCACCCUCACCACCGUUUUGUGCUUUCCCUCCGCCUCCCGCUUCUUGCUGCCCUCUAAACUACCCUCCAUAUCUCUGGGAUCAAUCUUGCUUAGCUCAUUUAUAGCGCCAUGGCAGGGUGGAGCCGUCAGCAUCCACCAGCACAAACUCCCCUCAAACAUUUAGCAUCUUCGAAUCUACCCCUGUCAAUUCGCCGCCUAACGUAACCCCCUAUCCCUAUAUCCACCAGUGACUCUAGUUUAUCAUUUUGCUGGGUUAGCUCCUCGUACACCUCUCUCUCUCUCUGUGUCUAGGUCGCCGUAUACUUCGUUGGGGGUCAUGUUUUUGAGUGAGGAAUGGGGUGUAGAGUUGUAAUUCGCUCCUGGUCUAUAAAUCGUGUGGUGUUGUUGGCUAGCAUGUAAUAGCGUAUGUAUCGUUUGAUGGUCUUGGUUGCCACGUCCACUAUGCCUAGCUUGUUGCCCCUGGACAUAUGGUCGUCCUUAGCCACUUACGGAUCUCGACUGGUACGCUCUCCUUGGCCUUAUGCUCGAAUUCUCUCACCUUCUCCAGGCGUUAUUUUAGCACUUCUUCCUUCGUUUCUUUCUCUUUCUUGGAGAGCUCUCUUAAUAGCCGACGUUUCUCUAGCGCCUUCUCUUGUGCCUUCUGCAGCUGGGCAAUUUUCUCUGCUGUCAAUUGUUUUUUGGGCAUGGCAACGGUUUGGGCUUCAGGCUCAGACAUUUCAGUGGCUUCAGACAUUAUAGAUAUUUAUAGUAACGUCAGAAAAACUUAGUGGAAUUUCAGAGUUAUUGGCAUGGUUCUAAGGAUGGGCAUGCAUUUCUCUGCUUGCCACACCCCUUCCAGUGCUUGUAUUUAGUCUUAUCCAGACAAGGUUGUAAACCAUGAGAUGAAAAGCCCUCCGGGGGCGUCUGCAACCGCUCAUGUGCCCAUGCUGACAGCAGAUGGUUUCAAAAAGCACCCCCAAGCUCCGCCUCCCCACCAGGAAGCCCCCAAUUAAACUGAUGGGCAACCCAUUGCCUCAGGCAACAGCCUUGACAGUAACCACUGCACUUGGUCCCUAGCGCGUUGCUGCCUUAGCACAGCAGGCAUUCCUUUCCAGUACUCCACUGCCUGGCACCUCAUCAACACCAAUCGCUACAAGUUGGCCAGCGCCGAGGAGCCCGUGUUCCCAGCUGGCGUACACAUCCAACUGGCAGUCACGCAGACGGUGCGGCAUACCAGUGCAAACAAGCCGCCGUCAUGGCCUACCUGGCGAGCAAGAAUGGGGUCUAACGACCCCGGGCUGCUUGUGGCGGUCAUGUGCGGUAGCCUGAGACCCAGAAGGAGAAGGCGUUUGGUGGGAGAAGUGUUGGCUCUCUAAUUUGUCCUCCUGUUUGUAGGUACUCUGUGUGUGGGUGCGGGUUGCAGGUUGGAAUUCUGGCUUGUCUCGAUGGCUCCUAGCAUGCAUCGCAUAUCAGCCAUUUUGUUGUUGCCAUUUAUGAAUUUUGCCAUUUGCGCCAUUUUGCGCUACAAGGCCAUUUGUGCCACCACUGGACUGGUCGUGGGCCACUGCCACAUGUGACAUAAGACGGGGUUAGGGGCCCCUAAUGUAAGUCAUCACGAGGUGCUGACUGUCGUUACCCUGGCGGCCCGGUGAGGUGAAGAGGGGGUAACCAUGUGCAGUAGUCAGAGUUGAGCACGAUCGUUACCCGGAUGUAACGACGUCCCCGGGGUAACGAUUGUCAUUACAUGGUCAUGGAGAUCGUAACUAUCGUUUCCGUGCCAUAGGGAACCUGGUCCAACCCACGUGGUGUGGCACCGUACUAAGAGCACAGGACCCCCCAUCCAGCAACUGGCAGCCAGUUGACAUCGAGGCGAUGCAAAAAGAGAUGGGAGGGGUGGAAGGGUGCGCCAAGCAAGGGGUGCAAUGGCAAGUGUUAGGAUAGCCAUGGGGGUGCUACACUACGCAUUCUAACAUGGAAUGCUCCCAUCGCCUACGGCAAUCGCCUGGAAUUAAUUGCGCAAGGAGUUAUAUGUCCUGCUGAUUACGACAUUAUAAUUGCUACUGAAAAUAAAGUCCUUCCAUGCAACCUGUCCAGGCCUUUGGCGGCGUGUGGGAAAUGCCUCGCGGGUGGCAAGGGUCUCUUGCUGGGUUGAUGCUAUCUUGCACCGUCCACGUCUGAAGUGGAUGAAGACUUAAAACUGGCGGACACAACCUGGCCGACAGCAUUGCUGGACCGCUGGGUGACGCAAUCUAUGCAUUGCGGAGGGAUGGAGAGAGAUUCUGUUUCUGUGGGAGAUUUUACUGCACGUGUAGGUGCGGCUAAGGAGACUGAUUACGCAUAUCAAGCACCGUUCUCGCCUUUUGAUAAAGAGCAUUGCAUUACACCAGCCUCUGAGCUCAGGGCGCUGGACCAAACAAUUGAUAUUGUCGGCAAGAGGGUCCUGUGCAUGUGUUGUCAGCAUGACUUAAGCAUUUUCAAUGGGAGAGUGGAUGGGGACAUCCCAGCUGGCCACACGUUCACUGCUAGCAGGGGCAGCACGGUCGACCUAUUCACUGGGUCGCAAACCCUGCUUGUUACUAGCCCGCACCUGAGUGUGAUGCGCAACAAUGCAUGGGGUACAUGACAGUCCAAGUUCAGUGACCAUUGUCCGGUGACUUUGACAAUCCCCAUCCCCGCAGCAGGACAAGGCGCCUCUCAUAAAUUUGUUUGAUAAUGGCGGCAAGAAGCGUUUCCAAGCCCUGUUUGCUGACCCCGGGGGCCAGCACAUUGCGUUUUUGAAUGAUUUGUGCAUGGUCAACGGUGCCGCACCCGUUCCACUUAAACCAGUGCUUGUGCUUGCACAUAUGAAUGCCGGGUUGCUUGCCGUCCGAGGGGAAUGCAUGCGGUUUCGUUGACAGCCUCUCGUGCUCCCACGCCUUCAUGAGUCGCUCCCUGAAGGUGGAUUGGGUUGGUCCAUCGGGUAUGGGCGUGUACCAUGCACAAUCAUAGCAGAGCAUUUGUACCUGUGGCGCAACAAAGCUGUUGAUGCAUUUUACACUAUGCUGUUGGCCAGUUACUGUGAAUCGUGCUUGGGAACGGCCCCGAGAAGCAAGAACCUGCCCUCUGUGUACGGCCAACGAAGUAGAAGAUGAGCACCAUAUUUUGAUGCAAUGCACGGCCUACGCCGAGUUACGGGCGGGUAGCAGCAUAUAUUUUAGUAAGGCCAUGUGUGACGUGAUGCAGGAAUCAGAGCCUGACAGGCUGGCCGCGUUGUUAGACUCUAUUUGGGAGCACAGGAGCAGGCACACGCCCCUUGCAGGGGCGGAACAUUAGAGCGGACGAACCAUAUCAUAAGGCGUUAUGAUGGUCACCCCGGCCUGGGCCACAGGUAUGAGGCAGGAAGGCACAAAUCGUGCGCACCACCUUGUAACCACACGCAGUUGAUUGAUUUACCGGCAACCAUCACGCAUGGGGCUACCACGCAACACGGUGUUGAUGUGUGCAUCAGUACGAUGGAAAAAGUCUGCAAAGAUGCCACUAAGCAGGCUGCUGCUGUUACACAUGUUGGGGGUACACCCUGGUGGAAUGAGCAGUGUGCCGUUGUGCUGUUGGCCUACCUUACAGCAUGGUGCGGCGUGUCAGCAACUUAGUGUUGAGGAGAAAAGCCACCUGCGGACCCUUAAAUGCACGUUUGAGAAUGCUAAACAGGCUGCACGUGAGCAAGCGCCUCUGAAGGAAUUAGCCCAUGUUAUCAGCAUGAACGACACUGACCCGCGAGCCCUGUGGUCCUGGCUCAAGGGUCGUAGUGGCACUGAGGUUGGGAUCACUGAUAUUGACAAGUGGUCUGCGAAUUUUCAACGCAUCUUUGGAGCCCAACCCGGGGAGCAAUGGCCAAUGCGGUCUGAAGCACACACACUGCUAAAUUGCAUCUGUGAUUCUGUGGUUUUACUGAGGGACAGCAGGAUGCAUGGCGGCAAUCCCCCACAGUCGCCACCCCUCCACCUUAUGGCACCAGGUCUGACGGUGCUCUUCAACCAUAUGUUGUUGUAUGUUGCCAUGUAGCAUGUUGCAACGUCGCAUGUCACAACCCAGGGGGUGCCAAUAAACUUGCACACAGCCAUACAUGUGGGUCAAGCUGGGUGGAAAGCUAGGUGUGCCCUUCAGUGUCAGAUGGGGUGUCAAGCGAGGAUGUCCACCAGUGCUCGUAUCAUGUAGAUGCCCUUGGGCCCCCAGUGUCUAUCAAUGGGUAGACGCCCCCUUCUGGCUCUUCUGUGGACAAGGGGGUCAGCUUUGGAACAGCUGGGAAAAGGUCACCAACCACCUAUUUGUGGACAACGCAAUGCUGCUAGCUUGCUCACGGGACAGAGCACUGAUGUUGCUCACAUACCUGAAAGAGUUUUGCGAGGCUACAUACUGGCAUGCAAGUGAAUGCAGCUUAGUGCAAGGUACUGUACUUCAGUACAACCCCGGCACAGCGCAAAGAGUGGGCCACGUGUGGUUUCAUACUGGGUGGUGCACGGUUGAAGGUCCUAGGGAAUAAGGAAACAGCCCGCUACCUGGUUUGCACUACGGUGCUGGGCACAAAUUCACAGACUGCACUAAGGAGCUUGUGGUGAGCAUAGCUGAGGGCCACACGCUGAGGGUGAUGACGCAUUUGAUAUUGGGGGUGGUCGGGGGUGUCAUGACGAGUAAGCAUGUCGGUGCAUGUGUGUUUAGCCAGUCACGACCAAGUCCGUGGACCAUUGCGUGCAUGGACAAGAGACAAGCAAACAAGCAUUGCAUCAUAAUGCAUGGGUGAUUUGUGUGUGCUUGUGAAAGCCUGCAUUUGCAAAUAUUAGAGAGUGGCCGGGUGUUGUGCCACACACGCCAGAAAUAGAAAUAGUCAUACCCUGGUAGAGGCAAGUGGUAUGUGUUAAGGGAGUGGGGAGGGAUGAGGAAACGGGCCAGGCCUGUAGCCUGUACACCCCCAGUACCAGAAGGGGUGGGGCGAGGGGGUGGGCCAUGCCCGCCUCCCACACACUCUGGUUACACCCCACCGGGCCAGCCACCACCGGGGUUGCCUGGUGGCUGGCCCCACUCAAGGUGUCGUCGUGUGAGGACAAUGUUAUUGAGUGAGGAGACCGCGUGGUCGUGCAGGGCGUCGCAGCAUUGUCGUGCAGCAUGUGUGGUGGCUCCGAGGGAGGUGAGUAGGGGGUGGAAGUCUUUGCGGAUUGUGCCGGCAAAGCCCAGGCUAAUGGUGUUUUGGGCAGUGUACUGUACUUUCCAGCCCGCCUCUUCCAGGGCGGCCUUGAGGUGUGCAUGUUGUUCAGCUUUCUCAUGUUGUUUUGCGGUGUGGUUUGUGUCAGCAGAGUAGCCUACUUUGAUGGUGUGGUGCUGGCCGGGGAUGAUGUUGAAGUCGGGGGCAUGGGUGGCGGCUAGCAUGAUGGACAGGAUGAGUAGGAUAUCCGGGCAGUAGUUGAGGUGUCGGCCCGGGGGUUGGCCAUCUGUGUCGGGAGGAGCCACGCCGGGAGGCGAUUGUCAGCGACAUAGUCUGGGAGGUUCUCCUUGGAGGUGAUGUCCAUGACCAUGUAGCAGCCGCCCAUGUCUCCACACAAGAUGGGCCACACACACCAUGUGAGAUGGCCAUGUGAGAUGGUCACGUGGGUUGUCACUUUUUGGCUGGGCACGGUGUUCCAUGCCACAAUGCCAGUAUCAUGUAGAUGCCUGCAGGCCCCUGGUGCCUACGCUGCGUAGAUAGACACCCCCUCAGAAAAAACUUCCAUGGGGGGCAAGCCCCCCCAAACCCCCUGUAAUUUGGGGCCCAAAAGGUGAAAAAGUGUCUAUACAUCAUAGACACAUCCGAAGACACAUACCCCACGGAGACACGAUAGCUUCUACAUUUUUUGCCCAUCUGGGGGCGAAUUUUUUAAAUUCGAUCCCUCAUGUAACCAAUGCAAUCUCAAUUUCUACACGUAGAUGGAAGAUAAGAGCACUGCCAUGCCAGGCACUGGGAUUGGCACUGUCUCGUCCAGCCCCUUUGCAGGACAAGCACAUGUGAUGGGAAUGGGUUGUAAGCCUGCAUGGGGAGGAAUGGGGCCAUAUGGGUAGGACGAGCCUCCAGGGUUAUCUAAGGUGGAGGCCACACUAGGUUCGAGAGACCAGGCAAGACCUGUGUACUGAGACCAGGCCAUAAGACCACACUUCGGCUGUAAGCCCUGAGAUCUCCCCCCUCAACUCUGGUUUAUGGGCAAUAGCCCCAAGCCCUCUGAUAGGGUGUUCUGUAACACAUGCUUGACUUGUCCCAACUUGACCUGUCCCUCCGUGUCCCACUGCACCGAGCACGCUAACCUCCAAGCACCUGAGACCAUCAGCAGCAGUGUGAGGCCCCUUUCCCCUUACCCAUGCACAGGCUCCAGCCCUGCUCACCCCGAGCCCCUCUCCUCCCCUGUGCUCCCUGCAGGCUAGGAACCAUGUGGUUCAUGUCCCUGGUUGACACACUCAGGUGGAUCCCGUGCCCAGACUCUCCCAUUACAGCUCUCCAGCUGACGCUUCUGCAUCACGAUUCUACCUUCAGCUGAUGCUUUCACAUCUUGAUCCUACCUGCAGCUCAUAGGCUUCCGCAUCUCAAUUCAACCUGCAGCCCAUACACUUCCGCACCCUACUUUGUCAGCAGCACUCUCCCUUGACAGCCUUUCACACACUUCAACACAUAUCGAGGCCAGCAAGUGGUUGCCAUGCUUCACUAACCCAGCAUCUGGUCCUCACACCAACGUUGGGCAGGGAGCUUUCCCCGAUUCUUGGGCACCUUCAGGAAAAUAAUCUGUACAUGUGUAUGCCUUUUGCACCCUGAGGGUCGUGCGCAUUACAAGCUCCUUCCAGUAGGGAAUACACCCCAUGAUUCAUGGGACACUGUAACUGUAACUGUAAUACAUAUGCAAAAGUCUCAAUCACCCACAAAACAAGUAGGGCCCCAGCCCAUCUCAGUAAUGAUGCUGAGGCUGCCUACCCACCCGCGUGUUGGCCACAACUGCUUCCACUAGUUCCUCCAUCAGCACUCAGUGCUGCAUGCCUGACUUUGUCUAGCUUUGAAGAACGGCCCAACUGUAACCCACACGUGCGAUCAUGGCAUCCUUGGCCGUGCAGCAGCUGCAUGCCUGAUGGGCCCCUCCUCCAGAGGCAAACAGGAGGUGCAAAGAUCAAAAGCAUGCACCUUACACAUCUAUCAAAACCAUGCAACUUACACAACUAUCAAACCAUGCAUCUUACGCAUCUAUCAAAACCAUGCACCACAGCAUGCCCACGACAGGAGAACACCGCCAUGUGUGACUGCCAUAAUGACUGUGGCUUAAUUAGCACCAUCAGCUGUGCGAGCCAGCCCCGCCUGAUCAGCAGCAUAAGAAGAGCCUGCGGUUGAGCAAAAGCAGGCGUUGGCCGGUGCAGUGUGCAUUAGUCAGUGCAGCGACUUCAGGCAGGCACCUUUGGCAACAUGUGCACACUCCUAUGCAAGCCCGUCCUUGUCCCUAACAUACCACAGGAGGCCUCACCGUCAUGGUGCCUGCUGUGCAACUUGCAGCGCCUCGAUAUCCUGUUGCAGCUGCACGAUAGUCUGCACCUGCUGUGCGAUAGUCUGCAUCUGCUGCACGAUAGUCUGCGCCUGCUGCACAAUAGUCUGCACCUGCUGCACGAUAGUCUGCACCUGCUGCACGAUAGUCUGCGCCUGCUGCACGAUAGCCUGCACCUGCUGUGUGAUAGUCUGCACCUUCACUCACCCCUGCGUCUCUUGUAGGGCAUGCAGCAGCUGCUGACCAGCAGCUGAAUUCAGACAAGCAUUGCUAGUUGCAUCUGAGCCCGACACAGCAGACAUAGUUCAAGGUCAUCUUGGCAGCCGUGUAAUAUGUGUUGAUAUGCUGAUAUGUGUGAGACUACACCUCGUUCUCAGGCACUUGAGUGAGAACGAGGCACGUGACUUUAGUCUCACACAUAUCAACAUAUGACACAUAUUACACGGCUGCCAAGACGACCUCGAACUCUGUCUGCCAUGUCGGGCUCAGAUGCAACUAGCAACACUUCUCUGAAUUUGGCUGCUGGUCAGCAGCUGCUGCAUGCCCUACAAGAGGUGCAGGGGUGAGUGAACAGCCAGAUGCAGACUAUCAUGCAGCAGGUGCAGACUAUCGUGCAGCAGGCGCAGUCUAUCAUGCAGCAGGUGCAGACUAUCACGCAGCAGGCGCAGACUAUCGUGCAGCAGGCGCAGACUAUCAUGCAGCUGCAAGCCGCGGAGCAGCAGCAGGUGCAGACUAUCAGCAGUGUUCUCCUGUUGUGGGCGCACUGCAGUGCAUGGUUUUGAUAGAUGUGUAAGGUGCAUGGUUUGACAGAUGUGUAAGGUGCAUGGUUUUGAAAGAUGCAUAAGGUGAAUGGUUUUGAUAGAUGCAUAAGGUGAAUGGUUUUGAUCUUCACACCUCCUGUUUGCCUCUGGAGGAGGGGCCCGUCAGGCAUGCAGCUGCUGCACGAUAGCCUGUCCUUGUCCCUAACAUACCGCAGGAGGCCUCACCGUCAUGGUGCCUGCUGCGCAACUUGCAGCACGUCGAUAUCCCGUUGCAGCUGCAGGAUAGUCUGCACCUGCUGCUGCUCCGCAGCUUGCAGCUGCACGAUAGUCUGCACCUGCUGCGCGAUAGUCUGCGCCUGCUGCACGAUAGUCUGCGUCUGGCUGUUCACUCACCCCUGCGCCUCUUGUAGAGCAUGCAGCAGCUGCUGACCAGCGGCCAAAUUCAGAGAAGCGUUGCUAGUUGCAUCUGAGCCCGACACGGCAGAUAUAGUUCGAGGUUGUCUCGGCAGCCGAUGCCGCAGUGCUCGUCUAGCGCGCGUAAUACGUAAUGAUAUGCUGAUAUGUGUGAGACUAAAGUCACGCGCCUCGUUCUCGGGCACUUGAGCGAGCACAGAGCAGCGAUGUGACGCAACAUUACAGGCAGGGCUGUGGCUGCGGCGAAGACGAUGGCGGAGCGAUGCGUAUAGGCCGGAUCGUUUAGAUAGAUACCAACUGAUAGGGCAUGGGCUCCGUUUCUCGUUGGGAUGUCACAAAUGCUACAACGAGGGCGGAGCGACGUAAACCUGCUAAUCCAGCACAAGAUGUAAUAAUGAUGACAUAACAAUCUAAACAACACACGACUUAAAUAGUCAUCCAGAGCCUAGGCGGCGCCGGAAGGUCGUACAUUAUCCAUAUCCCAAAUGAUCGUCCACGAGUAAAGUUAACGACUUAACAACUAAACAACUAACGAGAAAACCUAACACGCAUCAUUGGACGCUAUGUUUAUAAUAAAGAUAUGCACAAACUUGCAAACGGGCACACCUUGCCAGGAGUGCCCGGGCGAGGGCCUUCAUGCGCUAGCGCCGGUGCGAUGGGGGCGCGACCCUAUCGUCUCAUCGUUGCUUAGCGAUCUCUCGUUGAUUAGCUUAUAACACAUUUAAAUUCGCAUAAAUUAUCACGAGCUCUUCUAGCAAUCAAAGCGGCUGUGUUCUUUGACAACUUGCACGCUUGCGUACCCAGAGACCGCUGUGCGACCUAACACCAAGUCCGUGCGAUGCAAUGCUUAAUUGAAGAUUUCCACUGGCUGCUAGCCCAAGCUUCGCCACCUGGAGACUUGGGAUGUUGCGUCCUCGGCGCCCACGCAAAUUGCUGCCGAAUUGAUUCAUACAUGUUGAGUAUGACUCAAAUAGUAUUCUUGAUGCAUUCGAUAAGGAGUCACUCGGGUCUUGCACGUUCGUCGAUUACAGCUUUCAGCAUUCGUGAAUGAAUCGAUUAAGGCUUGCAGCAUUCGGUGUUUAUCUACACCUUCACAAGUAAUCGGUGGAAACACGACUGAACUCAACGACUAAACUUCCCGCGCUAAUCGUCGGAGUGCAUGCGUGUCCAAUCGUCAAAUCAUCGAUUACACCAAUCGGAGCAGUUUUUACUCAGAAAGUAUCGAUUGAAUGAGGGAGGGGUGAGGGGGGAAUCGGGGGUGGGCCAGAAACGGUAAUCUUCUAUUUUUUGCCGCCGCCGCCGCAGAACAUGCAGCCGUACCCGCUACCACCACCUCUGCAAACGCAGCCGUACCAAACGCCGCCGCCGCAGCAGAACAUGCAGCUGUACCAAACGCCGUACGCGGGUUCCCUGCCGCAUCCGCCACCGAUACCACCGCAUCCGCCGAUGCAGCCUCCGCAGCUGCAGCAGGCGCAGCAGCAACAGCAGCAACAGCAGUUCAUACCACAUCCCAGCCAGCUGGUCCCAAGGCUGCCGUACCAGCCACCACUGCACCAACCCCAGCAUCACCAGCACCCAGCGCAAUACCAGUACCACCGCCAACCCAUGCAACACCAUAACCAUCAGCUGCAGCAGAACCCCCAGGACCUCGCCAGUAACUUGGGCACCGGCCGGGAUGGCACACCAUUAGCAUUGGCGGCGCUGCCUCCUCGUCCUCCUCCACCUCCACCGCCACCAGGCCUCCUAGCUGCUGGCCCCGGCGGCGGCGGCUGCGGCCGUGGCCGGCCCUGGCGGCUCCUCCUACCCCGUCGCCCCCAGCUGCUGCCCACUAUCGCCUCCACGCAAUCCCCUGUCUCCCCCGGUGGUGGGCGACACUGCGCAGCUCGAGCAGCUCACCCUGGAGUUCGGGGACCUGCUGGGCAAAGCUUGCGAGGUAGGUGUAUGGCUACCGCUACGGCUCUCUUGUGACGGCGGUGGCGGGGGCCGCUGUAGCUUUGGAGGUGGGGAAAGCACGGUGGGGAAUAGGCGAGGGUGCAAACGGUGAGCUGCAUCCAUCGCAUGCUGCUGGUGAUCCGCGGCUAUGUCAGAGGGUUGGUCCGGGGGGAAGUCCGGAGUACUGCCAAAACACACGGUAUGGUUUGCGGAGUGCGGAGUUCCCUGAGCGAGGUGCUUUUUCCAUGUCCGUUUUGUGCAGCUUUGAAGGCAGGGGAUGACGAGUCUCUGCAACACACAGCAGUCCUGCACUCCAACACACGACAAAGGGCCCUGCACACGAUGUUCCGAUCCAAUCUGGAACACAGCUGGUCCAUUCCAGAUGUCUUUAUACGAGGGGGAUGUUUCCGUUCGCCCGUCGGCCACGCAACCGCCUUAGUGUGUGUUACAUGGUUGGGGGUGCGUGACCCCAUACCCAUACCCAUACGAGCCGAAGGCCCAAGGGCAAUAUCUAUACGCCUAAAAGCCACGGAGAACAGGAAACACCGCACAUCAGGUCAGAUUUGCGUCCAAAUGGGACAACUGAGUUUCGGUGAGCCCACAUACGUUCCAACAUCCUCGCCAGACGUACUGGUUCCCAUUUCAUAGCCUCCAACAUGCUCUGUUCAUGAUCGAAUCCCUCUUCAGCAUGAAUAUCAUUACCAACCGCCUUUAGUGCCUUUUCCUGCUUUUUGCGGAAUUUAGUGUCCAUUUUCGGGACGCUAGGGACCGUGCCUCUUUGACUUUUCCUGUCCUUGCCAUGUUACACUUUCUUUCUGUGUUUGACCUUCAUGCUGAUAUGUACGGCACGUGACGAUCUGAACGGCGCCAUGCUGCAUCGGUCGGAUUCCUGAUGCACUGCCAGGCACUUGUGGAGAUGGAGGACAAGGACGGCAUUCGACCGCUGGAGUCGGGCAACGGCGCAUCGCUGCCGUCGCCGCCGCCGCCAACUGGGCACUGGGACCUCGCCGCCAAUGGUGGUGGCCACGAUGGCGGCGGCGAAGGAUCCCGUACGCAACUGCCGCCGUCGCCGUCGCCGAUGCGGUUACGCUUACCUCUACGGGUGGCUUACGAGGAACUUUGUGUCGCUGAUCCUUUGCUGCGGGUGAGUGGGUUGAGCUUGGAAGCAGAAGGAGAGGGAGGGGCAGGUAGGAAGUGGAGGAGUUAUUGCGCUAGGAAUUGCAAUUCAGCCAUGCAUGUCAUAUUCUGGUAGUAGUAGGAAUGGUGGCCAGGUAACAACGGCAACGUGUCGAAAAGCGUCCGGGGGAGGUAAAAGAUGCGUCAAGCAAUUAAGUUCAGGGACUGGUCAGCCUGGGGAUAUCACUACUCUGUGCGAGCAGCUAUAGCCUUAUCACCGUCGCCUUAAUAAGCAAAUAUUUAAAAGUAAAAACCCGUAAUCGUUCAGACUUGCUGGGUAUGCACAGACGAUCCGCCGGCUGCUGCAACACAUAUGCGCAUACAUUUUAAGAGGUUUUAGGGUUAACAAAACCUGCAACCGUGAAACCAUACCUUUUUACAUGCCCGUUUCUGCCGCUGCCGUUCCCCCUAAUAUACCCCCGUACGGCAGGCACGACUGCUUGGCGACCUGGCCGUACGCUGGUUGGAGGUGAGCAGCGUAGUGACGUCAUUCCUCUUCGCGAGGUUCCUCCUGCCGGACCUUUUGCACAUUCCAUGCCAGCCCCCGCAACUGUCCUUCUCGGCCGCCACGACCGGCUGAUCUGGCCAGGCCGGUUAUGGGAACUUGUUGGGCCGGUCGAGGCCCGGGUGGGGCCCCUGUCAAUGGCCCCGGGGUUCCAGGGCGUUUAUGUGAUGAUGUUGCGGGUCCCUGUUGCUUUCCCGGCAUGAGCCUUUUCCUUGGUGCGAGUGCGCGGUAGUCAGCGGGAUGAUUUCGUGAUCGCACCCCCCCAGCUGGUGGUGCCUGCGUUGUUGCUGGGGCGGGGGUCCGACUGCCUGACUCCGGAGGGUCCUCUUCCAGGGGAGUAGUGAGAAUCCAAGGUAUAUCAGGGAAAAAGGAAAAAGGAGAGGAAAGUGACGGCAAAGGGCCGCGUGUUGGCGAGGCCGCUUUUUUGUGGAGCCGCAGUAUUUUGGUUCUACGCCACACACACAGCUAUAUAACCCAUCGCGGUAAGAUGGACAUUAGCUAUCCAAACGAAGCUGUAAUGCAAUUCUAGGAUCUUGCAUGGUCUUUUAUACCUUUGGGGGGUUCCGGUGCGCAUGCUGUACACUUGUCAUCCCUGACAUGUGCGCUUGCGUCAUACCAUUUCUCCGUACUGCUGUACCGCCGUACAACGUGCAGAAGAACGCCUGGCGCAGCCCGCUGGAGGCGUUGCUUGGCAGGGGUGUACGGCAGCGGAGCAUGGACCGCAUAGGGCCUUUUGAGUGUCUGGACGAGCAGCAGCAGGUGGUGCUGGGGGGUUGUGGGCUUUGGGUUCGAGAGGGAAAUCCACCUUGCACGGCGUCCGCACCGGGGCUCCCUUUAUAUCCAUCCUAAUCCGUUUCUGCUACCAUUCGACUGCUCCUCCGUUUUCCAUUUCCCUUUCGCCACUCCGGCUGUUGCGCUGUCUGGCCAUGAUAGCAAUUACGCUUCAGCAAAUCGAUGCGCCCGCUCCCCAACUGCAUACAGGCCAAUUGGGACAGAAACCGUCGUACAUUGUACAGCCACGUUGUGGUUGUAGCGCGAGCCGCCAUGGAGACGACGGCUGCAGUAGCAGCAGCGGCGGCGCCGAUGGUGCCGAAGGUUGAGCACAACGACCAUAAGUACACGCGCGGCAGCGGCGGUAGUGAUGGUGCUGGUGCUGGUGAUGGUGAUGGCAGUAGCGGCACAGCGGCUGCCACAUCGAUUGCCACGUCUUUUGGCCGCGCCAGUGGGGAUGGUAACCCUGCUGUGCCUGCUCCGGAACCACGGCCGUCACUCUCGUCCAUACGGCGCUUCCUGCAAGUGACGGACUACCUGGCGGAGGGGCUGGCCGCGCACCUCCUGGGUCAGCCGCCGCCGCCGCCACUACCCGCCCCGAACCAAUCUAUCCAAGCAUUAACAACGCCUUCCCUGCAGCCGCCGCCGGCACCGCCGCCGGCACCGGCGCAGCAGCAUCAAGAGCUGCCUCCACCUCCGCCCCCGCUGCCACCGCCAUCGCCGCUUCCCUCGUCCCUGCCAGCUCCGCCCUCACCACCGCCCAUGACUCUGACGGCGUCGCCAACGCCCACCCUCGCCACUUCCCCGCUCCUGCCGGUAGCCGUGCGGCCGCCACCCGGGGCUGGCCCCGCGGCUGAUCCAUUGGCACCUCGCGGUGCUGAGGCGGUGCUGGCCGCCGCCAACUGUGCAGACGGCGAGGGCGGCCAUGGCUCCGGCGCGGUAAGUGCUGUAGUGGCCGUCGACUUCGCGAUGCAAACUUCGGACGGGCUGGCGGCUGAUGGCGAUGGCGUAAGCCGAAACGGUGGUGGAGGCGGCAGUGCAGCCACUGCCGAGGACGGCGGCGACGGUAGCGCUGGUGCUGGCGGCAACGGUGUCAUUGGUAGCGUUGGAGUUGGCGCUGGCGGCAGCGGUGGCAUCAUCAUCAGCAUUGGUGCUGACGCUGGCGGCAACGGCGGCAUCGUCAGCAGCAUUGGUGCUGACGCUGGCGGCAACGGCGGCAUCGUCAGCAGCAAUGGUGCUGACGCUGGCGGCAUCGUCAGCAGCACUAGUGCUGACGCUGGCGGCAACGGCGGCAUCGUCAGCAGCAAUGGUGCUGACGCUGGCGGCAACGGUGGCAUCGUCAGCAGCAUUGGUGCUGACACUGGCGGCAACGGUGGCAUCAUCAUCAGCAUUGGUGCUGACGCUGGCGGCAACGGCGGCAUCGUCAGCAGCAAUGGUGCUGAUGCUGGCGGCAACGGCGGCAUCGUCAGCAGCAUUGGUGCUGACGCUGGCGGCAACGGCGGCGGUGUCGACAGCACUAGUGCUGACGCUGGCGACAGCGGCAACCGUGACGGCAGUGACGGCGUGAAUGGUAGUGGUCUCCAAGCCAUGGAUGAACAUACAACACGCAAAGCCGCCACACGGCUGCUCCGUACCGCAGUGCAAGCCGCAGUACACCUUGCGUUACGGGUAGGCGCCUCGCCUAGCGGCCGGCUGGCACUGCGUGUCCCGACGCCAGGAGACCCGUUCGUACUCGAGCCACUGAAGUCGCCUCUGCCGCAGCCACUGCUGCUGCAGCCGUCAGCUCACUCCUCAGCUCAGUCCCAAGCGCCCUGCUCGAGUUUCAUCAAUCUCACCGCCAUGCGAGCGAACAGGUUGGCUGUAGCAGUGGAUUGGGUCCCCUCACAGGCGGGCUUAGCGCAGGUACCCGCCGGCCGCACCGCCACGGCUGGCGCCACCAACGGCGACGGCAAUCAACUCAACUUGGCCAUGCCCGGCGCCACCGCCGGCCAUGCUGCCGGUUGCCAGGCUCGCAGCCCGCCUGCCGCGGCCGCCAAUAUAAACGCUGCGGAUGGCCCCGCGGCCGUGCCGCUCAAACGGCCCCCACCACCGUCGUACGACGGCGACGUAAUCAGACAGGAUCAUGACGUGCCAUACGCGGGAGAGCUAAGCCGCGGCGUGUCCGGCAGAGGCGGCAAGAGGAGAGGCCGUCGCAGGAUCAGCACAGUGAGGAUAAGGCCCAGUUGGCGUCCUCGGUUGACGCCGCUAUGACUGGCAUGACUUACCAGGCGGACGUGGCGACGGCGGCGGCGGCAGCGGCUGCUGCGGUGCCACAGGGCCCGAUUCCGACGCCGCAGCUGUCGCCGCCGCCACAGCCGCCACCGGUGCCUCUUCGCUAUCACUAUCCUUCCCACCAUGUAAUUCAGCGGGCAUCUGACACCCGGGGCCUAAACAACUCCACUUCUUUCCCGGGCAGUGGCGACAGUGGCGGCGGCGGUGACGGCGGUCAGCGGCGCGAAGACGGUAACGGCGGCGGCAGCGGUGGAGGCUCAGGCAGCUUUCAAGUUGGCGACAUGGUUGGAUCCGUACUUUGGGUCAUAUCGCCGGCAAUCAUAAGACGCGACGCGCUGUGGAGCUGUGGAGGGAGCUGCAAGACGGUGGACCGAGUCGUGAGCUUCAUUCCGCCUUCGGACGACCGAACGGGGAGAGGCAGCACAUGGGAGAGCCUCCUGGACUUCACGGUUUGCGAGCAGGUUUCGGUUUGCGUGUUAUGCACAACUAUGUGAGCUACUCAAGUUCCUUGCCCCCGGAAGUUUCUGGUUGUGAGGUACGGUUGUGGCACACUGAUCAAUCGCUGCCGUGCUAAGCCAGGAGGGGCAUGGAUCUAAUUAAGCCUUACAGCAGAGGGAUAGGGCGCAUUUCGGGUGUCGCGGAGUACCUCCGGGGAGGACUGGAAGACAUGCGGGACACGGACACGGACACGGACACGGACACAGUGGGCAGGCACAUGCUUGCAGCAUGGAAGCAUGGCACCAAGGGAGGUGCCAGGGUGCAAGCGCGAGGGAGGGGAGGAGGAGGUGGAGGUGGGAUGUAGCUGCUGCCGUCAGCCCGCCCCAGCCAUAAACGUGACGGCUCCGGCCGGGUGUGCUGACGCGCAAGGGGGUUGCCCCUGUUGUGGUCCGUGGCUGUACGGCACAUCUUUGUGCGGUGGAUUGCGUGACUUUCUCCCCUUCGUUGCCUGACGCCUCUUGACGGUACGACCGAUGGUGCUGAUGUGCAAAAUAUGUAGGUGAGCUUCCUCGUGUGGGCAGGCGCCUACGUCCGUGAAUAUGCAGGAUGUGAAUACGUUUAGGAUCCAGGAGACCUAACUUGCCCACGGCCAGCUAGCACACAGGCCGGGUGAUAGUGAAUGGCUGCAGGGGGGCCCCUGCGCCUUUUUCUACCCAGUUUCGCCGGUGCUGUGGCUUUACUUAACUUGCUUCCCCCUACACGUAUCUGGAUGAAACCUGUGCGUCAAAGCAAUCUUUCUCUUCGUGUUUUGAUUUACUUUUGGAUCCAGAGGAGGGGACACAACACUCCCGAUGCUCAUUUAAAUUUGCAUACCCAUACUGUACGAUACCAUUCCGCUGUAACACAUGCCUCGGCCGCAGUACUUCGUGCCCUGGGCUAAGAAGCAUGUUUUGUGUGAUGUCCUUCCGGCUUUAGCUACGAUGUCCGGCGCGACAUAAGUAAGUUGAUUUGCUUCGCAAUGUGACCGGCGGCGUUGAGCGUUGAUCCGAUGCCCGGACAUUUCGUCGAGCACCGCGGUUAUAUGCAGCAAACGCCGUGUGCGCAUUCAACACAAAGAGUAUGUAAUAAACUCUCCAUCCAAACAUCCAUCACCAUGUAUGCCUUUAUUGUCCAUUUCGUAACAGUAAGAAGCGAGAUGCGGUGUCGGAGCCGGACGAAAGCCUGUGCUCUCACAGGCUUGAGCAUGUAAGCCUGAAGUUUAUAAGGUCACACAAACUGGUGUCCAUAGCUGGAAUUUCAAAUUGAUAACUCACGCUGUCGUCGCUGCUGUGCAUGGCUACUUACCGUGUUGGUACAUGUUAGAGGACAAAAGGUAACCAUGAUAUUAUGAACUGUAUAUCAACCUCUCAUCCAAAGUGGAUCAGCGCGAAAACCCUUACCGAUCUUUUCUCCCAGAAACUGGAGAUGUUGGAGUACUUCGGGGUUACAUGAAAACUACAUAUGUGUUGGUGUUGUGGCUUUGACCGCUCGAUCCACACUAGUCCAAAGGCUUGAAAGCUAUGACCCACGGGUCACUCUAUCGCUCAUUCAUGGCAUAUCAAUCUGCCGCUCAGAGGGGGCGUAAAACUUGAACUAGAAUUCUAUCAACAACCAUGCGACUGUUUAAACUGGCGGCGGUGGCGGCGGUGGCGGCGGUGGCGGCGGUGGCGGCACCACCGUUGGUGCAGGUGCCGGCUGCCGCAAGCGCAGCUUCGCAAGUUUUCAGGAUGCCGACGCGGUCUCGGUCGCGGAUACAGAGUUGGGAGCAGGCCCUGAUAUGGAUGUGGAUGAAGCCCAGGAGCAGCAGGGGCGAGUUGCGACAGAUGAUCAGCAGUGGGAGGAACGGAGGUACUCGGAGUCCUUGCCGCUGCUGCUGCCGCUGCCGCCGUCGACGGAGACGGAGACGACGACAACGGUGACAGCGACGACGGAGACAACGAUAAGCGUCGGACCACCGUCCGUUUCAGCGACGGUGGCGGCGGCAGCGGCGGCGGCAGUGGCGGUGCGGGCGCCGCUGCCGCCGGCACCGCCGCCAGCGCAGGGCCCCCUACAGGGCCGUCGGCGGCGGCCAAGGAGGGCGGUGAAGCGCAAGGGGCCAGCACCGUUGCAACCAAUGUCGCCAUCGCCGCCAUCACCGCCGCCGCAGCAGCAGCGGCAGCAGCCGGGACGGGAAUCAACCGCGGCUGCCGCCACUGUCGCCGCCGCCGCCGUCCCGAGGUGCUGCUGCAGUGUGUGCGGCGCCACAGAGACCUCGGAAUGGCGGCGCCAUAAGCUGUACGACAACCUCUUUACGUGUAAGGCAAGCAGCGGCAAGAAGAAUCCGUUGUCGCUUCAAAAUAGGGAUAUUGCCCUGCCGGCUGCUACUGCGAGGUAGCGGCGGCGGCGGCGGUGGCGGUGGCUACUGCGAGACCCCACGGCUGUGACGGCACACACUGCUAUGCCACUCGUAUACGUAUGUAGCUACUGCGCUUAGUCAUGGCGACGGUGCGGGUGUGCGCCGAGUGGAAUGGGCAACCGGAGGGGGCGAAUAACGGAAAACAGCGAUUAAUCUCUCUUGUCAGAGGGAAGCACGCCGGGAAUGAACGAAUGAGCGGUGUGCAAACGGUUACCUGCCCGCAGCUGUUGCCUUUCGCUAAAUCGCAGUUUAGCUACGCUAUACAGCAUAGGUUUACGAGUGGGCAAUUUGGAUCCGUACAAGUACCUGGAUUUUACAUUCCGUGCCGCUGGCGCUGCCGCUCGCCCUGUCGCCAUCUGGCCCCCCAAGCUGCCUCUUAAAAUAUAUUUUGCCUACAGGGUUGCUACAUGUGGUGGUUGGCCAAGCGCACGUACGAUGGUCGUACGGAAGCGCCCAGGGUACGCGGCGGGACAGCUCAAGCACGUGUCGUACGGCGCGGUACAGUGAAGGCCAGUGCACGGUGGCCGGCGGGGCCAGGUACGGACGCCAAGGCAUUGGGGGCAUCGAUAGCAGCCGCAGCGGCGGCGGCGGCGGCGGUGCCGCCGGCCGGGGGGAAGAGGUUUCAUGGGAGUGCCGUACGCAUCGUGGAUGCUGCUGCUGGCGCGGGUAUCACGGCACCCGCUCGGAAUUGCACUGUGAAACCUGCUACUACUGCUACUGCUAUUGCUGCUGCUGCUGCAGCUUCCACUGCUGUUACUGCUGCUACUGCUGCUACUGCUUCUGGCCGCGGCGGCUCAGCGGCCUGCACUGCCGCUGCGGGGAAGCCGCCGGUAUGGGCUAACAGUACGGCCCGCGACGGCAGCGGCGACGGCGGCGGCGGCAGUUCCGUCCGCUGUGUCGAGUGCGGGUCGGCCUCCACCAGUCACGGCUGGCGGGUUCAUAAGUUGGACCCCACACUGCGGACGUGCCGGAGGUGAGGGACACCACCAUUGAUGCAUCGAUUGGUUGGUUGACCGCCCCGGAAAUCCCUUUCCACUUGCUCUUAUUCCGGGAUGCGAUGUGUCUGUGUGGGAAGUAGGGGGAAGGAGGAAUAGCUUCAUCCUCGUAUGUAGCUUCAUCCCCACCACCACCGGGGAAGCACCGCCCGCCCUCAUCCCUCUCAUCAUCACCCACGUAUGAGUCCACGGACUCGGACUCGUGUUCGGAGUCGGUAAGUGUGACCUUUUCGGUCUCAGCACCCGCCACCACCAUUACCACCACUAUCACCACCAGCAGCACCGGCAUCCAGUGGGCUCCGCCCCCGGAUCAAUGGCGGCGCCAACUCCCCCACCUUCCUGGUCGGUCGGUUAGCAACAGGUCCAUCGGUAUGGCCGAGUGCAUCACAACCACCACCGGCAUGUGGGAGCCUCAUCCACCCGCUUACGGUCCGAAGAUUUUAAUUUGUUCUGUGUCGGAAUCGAUCCUAGAAUCUCACAGAGGGACACCGUGCCGCGCUUUAGCAUGGCUAUAUUGUAUGCAGUGUGUUUUUUUUCGUGGAGGCCGAUCCUGAAUCUGUUACGAGUUCCGUAAUAAAUAUGCCAUCAGUCCAAUACGUUUAUUACUGCCAGAAUUUUUUCUGGGGGGGGGGGAGCCCCCCAAGACCCCCCCAUUUCUGGGGGGGGGGGAGCCCCCCAAGACCCCCCCCUGCCCCCACAGGGUACCUGAUACACCAGCACAUAUUUAAUAAAUAUUUCAUUAGAGUCCCAGCUGUUUCCAUCCGUUGCCACAUGCGUUCAGGAUUAUGUCAUACGUUUUCACCACGACACCACAGCCAGUACAAUGCCCCAGGGCAUAGCAAACUCGUCAGUUGUGCAUGUAACGGCCACGCUUCUCAGCCCUCUGCAGCCACUUCUCCACCGCCUUGUCAUACGGGAAGGACGAGCGGGUGUAGAAGUCCUGGGCAAACAUACGCAAGCACAGGCCCAGAUGCUUAUCAAGCUGGUUGCGGUGCUUAUUCUUGACGAAAGACAUUGCUGAGAACCGCCUCCCAUCCUCCACUGACCCUGGCACCAUCACAAACACAAUCACCGCCAGCUUUGCAAACUCUGAAAUGGCCAUGGCCUGCCCAGCGGGGCUCAUCAGCCGUCGCCAGCAGGCUGUGGCGGACGGAACCUCUCCCUCUGCUUACGACGCCGCUUCUUCCCCUUCUUCCCUUUCUUCCCCUUCCCGCGCUUGCGGGAUGCCCUGCGCCUGCGAGAAGCGCCCCCCGCAUCGGAACCACCGUUGCCCCUGCCACCGCUGCUGCUGCUGCUCCUGCUGCUGCUGCUAUCACCAGAACGGGAGGCGCCCUGUCAUCUGGUUCUAAUGUCUCUCUUGUACUCGCUAUAUUGUUUGAAGUGUUACCAGCAUCGCCGCUACUGGGUUUUGGCCUGCCGGUGGUCAGGAAUGCUUUGACGCUACCCUGAUCAGCUAUAGUAGUUAAUUUCUUGGGCCCCAUCGCUCAUUUAUAACUUAUUUAUACUAAAAUAGAACGUCUCUGGGGGCCUUCGGCCCGCCCCGGCUCCGUAACGACCGUACCAGGCCUUUACCAUGGUCUAUGACGGAGCGCAAAACGCAAAUAUGCCAUUUUAUUACGGAACCGUAAUAUAUUACGGAAAAAAAUACACUGAUUGUAUGCAUUGCCAGCGAGUCCAUUGCAUUUCGAUCAUCUAGAUUAUCAUUUCCGGCAUAUUAUCACGGAUAUAUAUACACGCAAAGAUCAGUACACGACACUUGCUAGGUGUGUCGAUCUUACCACCGCAGGUGCUACGACCGCUUCGUCUGCUGCAAGACGUACGACCGCCGGAAGUCGCCGAGCCGUCACACGGCGGCGGCGGCGGCGGCAGGGGCGCCGCCGAAAGGGAAGUGCUCAGCAGCUCUGGCGUCGCAACCCGCGUCUUCCCCCGAAGCCUCGAGAUGCCGUACGGCAUCAUCAGACGGCCUUGCGGGCGGCAUCAUCAGCACCGCCGCCACCGCCAUUCACUCGCGAGGGACAAUGCGGCCACCGCCACAGCCGCCGCCAGCACUAGCAGCAGCAGCAGGGGCUACUGCCGCAGGUCCUAGCGGGAGCGGUGAAGGCGUUGGAGCCGCAGCCGGAGCCUCACCUGGCGGCAGGGGUGGUGACGGCGGCGGUCCACAUCCCAGCAUCACCACCGCUGCCGAGGGGCCCCGUCAGCGGCAACAGAGACCGAACCGAACCGACCGCAGCGACGUCGAAGCUGACGUGGGCGCCAUCAGGCGGCCUGAAAACGUGCGGUCAGCGGCUGCAGUACGAGCUGCAGUCCCACUCGUCACCGUAAAUGUACGACAGGUCGCGGCAGCAAGAGAAAACGCAAGCGCAGCAGCGACAGCGGCGGUGGCGCCAGCUGCGGCGAUCAUGACGCCCAAGCUGUCCGCGGCGACCCCGCCGGACCGAUUCGUCACAGCCACUGCUGGGGAGGCCGGAGCCGUACCACCGCCAUAUCCGUCGCCGCCGUUUUGCCGCCAGCCGCCAGCCGCCAGCCGCCGCCCCCCUGCGCCGCCGUCGCGGCCUCCUCGCCCGCCGCGGUCGCUGUGGCCGCCGCGGCUUCGGCGUGUAAAUCCCUACCCCCCGUCUCCAUGCGACGAAGCUGCCGAUGCAGGGUUGCUGGCGGCGAUGGCGGCCUGUACGGCAGGCGGUGGCGUGGCGGCGGCGCUCCGUGCGGACGACCCGUGGGACCUGGGGUCCUCCGUCACCGAGCUUGGCAAUCAAGUUGCCCGAGUGGCGCAGGUAGGGAGCGAACAUAAGGCCCAGGAAGACCGGAGCACAAGGUGGUGCUGGGGGAGAAAUCACGUGUACGCGGCAUCUGUGCGCGUAAACUGUAUUUUGUGCCGCCCACGAUGCCGUACAACCGCUACCUAGUGUGCGCCAUUAUCACCUUCCUCCCCUGGUAGAACCCACACAUACAUACACACAUACCCACACAUACAUGACAACGAACGAUUGGGGACGCAGGCGCUGGUGCAGCUCGAGGACAGACACGGCGUGGCGCUGCUCGGAACAAUCGGUGCAGCUCCCGCCCGCUCCCCUCCUCGUACCCCCCAUCCACCUUGCCGUACGCUGGUCCCUGGCUCGUGGAGCCCCGUCAUCGAUUGGAAGCAUGGAUCAACGGUACGCCAUUCCGGGACUGGACCGCGCCUUUUCGGAACUGGCUGUACGAUUCAUGGGAUGGCCACAUCCUCCGCUAUUUAAGCAGACAAAACUCUUCCAAUCAGUGUCUUCCGAUGCCACCAUCCAGUUGUGGUUUAGUUUAGUAAGAUAUAACAAGUCUGGUAUCGAGACGGUUCCUCCCGGGGCCUCUCUCAUUCCUGGAAUUUUCAAGAUCCUACGUUUUGCCAUCAAGAUCCCCAUUUCUACCGGCGCGUGGAUGGAGGUCGACGACGUCACUGGACCUCUGGCUACAAUAGUCGACGCUCUCGGAGAGGCCGUCCGCGAAGUGGCAGCCGCCGGUCUGUAAACUACUUUAGCAAAUCCGUUUGCUGACUUUUUCUAGGAUUUUGGGUUACUAGCAGUAAAGCUGCUGCAGGUUCGAACCGCCGGUUCCUUGAGCGGUCCCUACCCUUUGCCGGAGGCUCUGUCAAGAGCUUCGUAGCACCCGUUCGGUGCUAGAACAGACUUUCAGAAAAAUCGACAGUUCUCUUUACUUGGGUACGCGGUCUGCCUGAUCUGGGUCAGGAUAGUUGGAAAUGGAGCAGUCUAGGCGAAGACGUUGGGGAUUGCCCUCCGCUAUCGAUAUGACCAAUGGAACUGUCCCGCCGCCGCCUAUUGCCCUGAAUAACAAUAACCAAUUGAAAAAUAUGAAUAAUCCGUCAACCGCUGUUCCGAUUCCUGCAGUGGAACACAUCGCGGGUACCGCCGGCGAUGUAAGGAACAACGACGCUACCGAGCGCGGCUUGCCCGCUGGGGUUAGUGAUGAGGUGAUUAGAAUUAAUAUUCCGGUACCUAGGCUUAGUAUCCCUGCAGAUAUUAAGCUUUGACUUAUCGCGGGAAGUUGCGCCACGUGUCCGCGCCUUCGUCCGCGAUGUCCGGAAAUAUUUGGAAAACGUGGCACGAUGACUGGACUAAUGCGCGAUUGCAAUAUACUUCAGAGCAACUUUUGGAGGCGCUAUUAAUUCGUCUUGCCCUGCAGAUUCAAACGCGCGAACUAGAAGCGCUAGAAAAACUUGCGGCAGGGCAGCAUCAGAUGCGAGCAAACGAAACGGUAGCCGCGUACCAUAGUCGUUUCAAGGCACUUAUAGCACCAAUUCCUGACUUGAAGGGAGGUUGACCGGAUUUUCUGGUUUAUCCGCGGCCUUUCCGCUGAGUUUUCAGGAGAAUGUGCGACCGACCGUGACGGUAAGCCUUUUCAGGAAUAUGCAAAACUUGUGCAGCACACACUUGGUGUUGAGGCCCGUCAACUUGCUAAACUCCGUUCUCAAACCCAAACCCGCAUGCUUCUGCAUGCUUCCACCGCUGUGCAGGAUCCUGCACCCAUCAUCACUGACGACGGGGACCUCCCGGCACCGGAGGUCAGCGCUGGGCAGAAUACAGCUCACCAGGCCUCCGGUGCUGGUGAGUCGAACCGUGGGUGCAGGGGUCCGGGUGGCAAGCAUAGGGACAAGGGUCGGCCCAGGGCUGCUGCCGUGGGAACAGGGAUGACGGUGCUAGGCAAGCAUGGCCGGGAUUCGAAUCUGGCAGAGUGGAUGACUAAGUUUUACUGCACUCGGGUGGAGUACGAUUACCGCCAGAAAGAUAGCCGUUGCCUCAGCUGUGGGGAGGACAAGCACCUAGUAGCGGAGUGCCCGUUGCUUGCAGAGAAGAAAGCUAGAAACGGGGACAAAUAGGGGGUUGCCCAGGACAGUGUCAGGGAAGCACUCCCUGGGUCACAAAACCGAACGGAGCCCGUAAUCUGCCCGGCUGGACGUGCUGUCCAUGCUGUUUUACCGGCCGUAUUGAACCAAGUUUAGAAGGCCGUUGGACGGCGUUUUUCGUUAGAUGCCGUGGAAUAGCAAACAGAUUACAGUGCUCAUCAAAACCAGGACGAGCAGUACGAGCAUCAAAUGAAAAACACUGUCAACGGCCUUCUCAACUUGGUUCAAUACGGCCUUCUCAACUAGGUUCAAUACAGUAUGUCCAGCCGGGCAGAUUACGGGCACCGUUCGGUUUUGUGACCCAGGGAGUGCUUCCCUGACACUGUCCUGGGCAACCCCCUAUUUGUCCCCGUUCCUAGCUUUCUUCUCUGCAAGCAACGGGCACUCUGCUACUAGGUGCUUGUCCUCCCCACAGCGGAGGCAACGGCUAUUUUUCUGGCGGUAAUCGUACUCCGCCCGAGUGCAGUAAAACUUAGUCAUCCACUCUGCCAGAUUCGAAUCCCGGCCACGCUUGCCUAGCACCGUCAUCCCUGUUCCCACGGCAGCGGCCCUGGGCCGACCCUUGUCCCUAUGCUUGCCACCCCGACCCCUGCACCCACGGUUCGACUCACCAGCACCGGAGGCCUGGCGAGCUGUAUUCUGUCCAGCGGCAGCAGUAGCAGCUCGAGGCCUGACCUCCGGUGCCGGGAGGUCCCCGUCGUCAGUGAUGAUGGGCGCGGGAUCCUGCACAGCGGUGGAAGCACGCAGAAGCAUGCGGGUUUGGGCUUGAGAACGGAGUUUAGUAAGUUGACGGGCCUCAACACCAAGCGUGUGCUGCACAAGUUUUGUAUAUUCCUGAAAAGGUUUACCGUCAUGGUCGGUCGCACAUUCUCCUGAAAACUCAGCAGAAAGGCCGUGGAUAAACCAGAAAAUCCGGUCAACCUCCCUUAAGUCAGGAAUUGGUGCUAUAAGUGCCUCGAAACGACUAUGGUACGCGGCUACCGUUUCAUCGAGGAAGUCCAUACUUGCAGACGAGCACUGUAAUCUGUUUGCUAUUCCACGGCGUCUAAACUCUAGUAACUUGGGUGGGCAUACCGGUUGGAUUUCCCCCUCCUCUUUCAAAGAACUUCAGUCUCAGCUUGCGCAUUAUCGUAUUUGCAAACGUCAACGACCGGACACUGCGGCCUGUCUCCUGUUACCAGCACAUGUAUCCCUGAGGGCUGCCUCCUUGCUGAUAGGGAUGUGUCGGGUUCUUCAGUUUCGUGCUGGUAGCAAGCUCUUCAACGGUGUAGACAUGACGGGUCAACUUGUUUCCCUUCCAGGUCUGCCGUAUACUGCUGACGUUUGGUACGAUCCCCCUCUUGUCCUGGGGCACCUUGACACGGAGCCCUAUGUUUCAGUCCUGUGUGCAAAAGUUGCUGCGUCAACAGGGCCCAGAGUCCCGUUAAUUGGCAUUCGUGUCGCUGGAUAUUCUUUAACUGCCAUGGCCGACUCUGGUGCCAGCGACGACUUCAUUUCUGCGUCCAUAGUUGAGCAACUCGGACUGAAACCUCAACCGGCAUCGUGGUCAUCUGUCACCCUUGCUGACGGGGGUAAGCAGGUCAUUUUGGGUCAAGUUUCCCUUCGUAUAUCCUUGGGCCCUUUGCGCUUAAAUGUCUGUCCAUAUAUGCUGCCUAAGUUUACUGAUGCAGCCAUGUUUAUCUUAGGGUCCGCUACCCUUGAUCAGUAUGGGGCUCAUCUGAUUAUGAGACCCAAACCUUGCAGUUGCGGAAGGGAACCUUGUGUUAUAAGGCGCCUUUCACCACUGCGGAACGGAUGGGAGAAGGGAAUACUAGUGCUGCACACUCCGAACCCUGUGUGAAUUUUGCUGCUGCCGCUAUCUGUAAGCGAAUUGAGCCUAAACCCGUUGGGCGCAAAGCAGCUAUCCGUAUGAUUCGCAAGGGGGCGCAUGGAUUGCUAGUACGGCGAUCACUGAAAAUGACCCUGCGGUUGAAGCCCUUCUUAACGAAUACUCAGAUAUCUUCCGUGAGGUCCCUGGACUUCCCCCGAUGAGACCGGUAGAUCAUACCAUACCUUUGGCUCCUGGUGUGCAGCCUGUUUCGCGCCCCAUGUAUCGCCUCAGCCCCCUGGAGCUGGAUGAGGUGACACACCAGGUAGCCGACCUACUGAGGAAAGGUAUGAUUCGACCCAGCACAUCCCCGUACUCUGCUCCCAUUUUAUUUGUGGGUAAAAAGGACGGGACUCUGCGUAUGUGCAUAGACUAUAGGGGUCUAAAUGUGACCACCGUUAAAAAUCGCUAUCCUAUCCCAGGGGUCGAUGAUCUACUGGAUAGACUGCGUGGCUCGGCUUUCUUUAGCUCUAUUGACCUACAGCAGGGGUACAAUCAAAUCCGUAUUGCUGAAUCAGAUAUUCCGAAAACUGCAUUUCGUACACCCUCUGGUCAUUACGAGUAUACUGUGCUGAGCUUCGGCUUGACGAAAGCUCCUGCCAUGUUCCAAGCCCUGAUGGACCAAACCUUUCGGCCCUACAUAGAUCGUUUUGUCGUUUGCUACCUAGACGAUAUCCUGGUCUAUUCAAGGACACGUGAAGAGCACCUGGAGCAUUUGCGGCUGGUCUUUGAAAUUUUGAUGUUUGACCCCGAACACGGUCACACCCGGCGAAGUGUGAGGCGUCCUUCCAGGUAAAAUCCUCGGAUGUCACUGGAUGUCUUGCUAAGUGAAGGUGCUUGUUAGGAGUAUCAAGCAGCAUGCACAUAUGUGUACGACCACCCCCGGCCGGUAAUAUGUCGGCUGACCUCAGGACUGAUUGCCUGAUGUUUUCACAACGAGAACUAUUAUAUAACAAUGGAUGACAACCAAAAGCAUCCAUUUAGUGAAGACCUGUCGUCGACUUGCGUGUGUGCUGCCAGCAUUCGCGCCUUCUCCUGUACUCAUCUACAAGCUCUCGUUUUACCGCAGCCAAACAGGCCAAGAGAUAGGUAUUUAUUGCUUAUUCCUUGCGUGUGUGAUGCCAGCAUUAGAGACCUUAAGGUUGAAAUAGCGAACGAUGCUUUCCAAGAUUCCACGAUACUGUAGGUUGCUAACGUUUACAUUUUUAAAAAGCAUCCUUAAGCGGAAUUUAUGAUGUGGGAAGCAUAUAAGACGAGCAGCCUAUAGGCCCAUACGUAUGUCCAUAGUCCAGGGCAACGGAGGCAGACGGAGGGGUUUACCCUGGGGCCGCGUUACCCCUCCUGCUGGGUAGGAAUUUACAAGGGGAUUACCAAAGGGCUACCGGGGGUUGAAGGUGGGUAACCCAUGGGUUACUGACCCAAUCAGUGCCUUAGGGCCGCCCGCCGCCCGCCUGCAGUUCGUCCGUAUUCAGGGUCGCGCGAGCUCAAUUCUGCAUAGUAAAUCGUAAGAAAGUUUUAAAUAUCAUAAAAAAAUAAUUAAAAUGUUAUAACGUCAAUGCUUUCCUCAGUUUGUUUCGGUGAACUUAUUACCGCAUGAGACCUCAGGUGGUUAGCUCGCGACAUCUAUAGAAAUCUCUAUAACUAGCAAUAUCUAUUUAUCUUACUUAACAGUUCAGGAUAAUAGCCCGUUAGCAAGAAUUGCGCCACUCUCCAGCAGACGUUCCGACCAGGUUUAAAAAACGCUCAUGUGUUCUUGUGUACUUUUAUAUCAGAUUCUUAUAUCACGAUAAGCAAAGCAAACAAGCCAUAAAAUAUGCCGUACGAUGGCAGUAGGCAUAACUGAGCGAGCUACCAUGGAAGCUUGCGACAGUUGGCCAACAAUUGGUGGGGUGGAACGCCAGGUAACUUGCCCUAACUAGGGGACGCUAGCUGGCUGAUGGAAGACGGCUCAUAAUGGGGUUGGUGCGCCAAGCCUGCGAAGGGCAUCUUUACGAAUACGUGCAAGCGUGGAUCAAUCUAACAACUGCCGCCAAAAAUGCUUCGGCUGGCGACAAACAACUUAGGGAAGGGGAUCAUUCUUUUUUACAACAUCAGACUCGUCCACAUAGCGGCGCUUGCCCGAUGUACCGACGCAAGGCCCAUCUCAGCAACCUUUGCUGUGUUACACUCGGAUACGGUAAAAUAAUAAGGUUUUUUAUGCGGGUAUGGAGAACAUGACCAUGUUUCAUACGUAUAUUUAGAUAGAAAAUAUAUAGAUUUAUGAGAUGAAUCACGCUUUAUAAAUCGGCAAUGUCAUCUCGGAUGGAGCGCCCUCCUUGGCAGCCGCCCGAGGCUCUCAUGACCUCGUCAAUGCUACUCAUGUAAGCGGAUGCAUCCUUGCGCAAUUAUGCAUACAAAAAAAAUCCGCAUCCAGAUACAAGUAGUAUACGUGCACGGCUCUAAAGGAGCUCCCUUAGAGCCGUCCCUCUCAAGAGGCUUGGGGUUGCUCCAAAGGCCGCAUACAUCACGGUGGCUUACAUCCAAAACAUAUGUAGUAGUGACUAUUAUAAUAAUAAAUUGCGUAUUGCUCCAAGCUGAACUACAGAUAGGCUGCUGCUAAGGAUGGUUACCACAAAAUAGCACCCUGCUGACGACGCCGACAUACCUUUCACUAAUUUGCUGUGUGUGCUUGUGUGCCAUGGACAUGACUUAUUUCUUACUUCGCACAGAGUCUUAAUGGGGGCCAUGUCCGUGAGCGCAGUCGACAUGUCAGNNNNNNNNNNNNNNNNNNNNNNNNNNNNNNNNNNNNNNNNNNNNNNNNNNNNNNNNNNNNNNNNNNNNNNNNNNNNNNNNNNNNNNNNNNNNNNNNNNNNNNNNNNNNNNNNNNNNNNNNNNNNNNNNNNNNNNNNNNNNNNNNNNNNNNNNNNNNNNNNNNNNNNNNNNNNNNNNNNNNNNNNNNNNNNNNNNNNNNNNNNNNNNNNNNNNNNNNNNNNNNNNNNNNNNNNNNNNNNNNNNNNNNNNNNNNNNNNNNNNNNNNNNNNNNNNNNNNNNNNNNNNNNNNNNNNNNNNNNNNNNNNNNNNNNNNNNNNNNNNNNNNNNNNNNNNNNNNNNNNNNNNNNNNNNNNNNNNNNNNNNNNNNNNNNNNNNNNNNNNNNNNNNNNNNNNNNNNNNNNNNNNNNNNNNNNNNNNNNNNNNNNNNNNNNNNNNNNNNNNNNNNNNNNNNNNNNNNNNNNNNNNNNNNNNNNNNNNNNNNNNNNNNNNNNNNNNNNNNNNNNNNNNNNNNNNNNNNNNNNNNNNNNNNNNNNNNNNNNNNNNNNNNNNNNNNNNNNNNNNNNNNNNNNNNNNNNNNNNNNNNNNNNNNNNNNNNNNNNNNNNNNNNNNNNNNNNNNNNNNNNNNNNNNNNNNNNNNNNNNNNNNNNNNNNNNNNNNNNNNNNNNNNGUACGCGACAGUUAGCCAUAUUAAAGCUAAAUGGACCCGCCCGCCGCCCGCCACAGUUCGUCCGCAUUCAGGGUCGCGCGAUUUCUGCAUAGUAAAUCGUAAGAAAAUUUUAAAUAUCAUAAAAAAUAAUAAAAAUGCGAUAACGUCAAUGCCUUCCUCAGUUUGUUUCGGUGCACGGUGAACUUAUUACCGCAUGAGACCUCAGGUGGUAAGCUCGCGACAUCUAUAGAAAUCUCUAUAACUAACGAUAUCUAGUUAUCCUACUUAACAGUUCAGGAUAAUAGCCCUUUAGCAAAAAUUGCGCCACUCUCCAGCAGGCUUUCCGACCAAGUUCAAAAAAACGCUCAUGUAUUCUUGUGUACUCUUAUAUCGGAUUCUUAUAUUACUAUGAGCAAACCCAACAAGCCAAGGAAAAUGCCGUACGAUGGCAGUAGGCAUAACUGAAUGGAAGCUUGCGACAGUUGGCCAACAACUAGUGGGGUGGAACGCCAUGUAGCUUGCCCUAACUAGGGGACGCUAGCUGGCUGAUGGAAACCGGCUCAUAAUGGGGUUGGUGCGCCUUGCUUGCGAAGGGCAUAUCUAUGAAUACGUGCAAGCGUGGAUUAAUCUAACAACUGCCGCCAAAAAUGCUUCGGCUGGCGACAAACAAAUUAGGGAAGGGAUCUUUGGCAACAUCAGACUCGUCCACAUAGCGGCGCUUGCCCGAUGUACCGACGCAAGGCCCAUCUGAGCAUCCCGGGUUACACCUUCGCUGUGUUACACUCGGGUACGGUAAAAUAAUAAGGUUUUUUAUGCGGGUAUGGAGAACAUGACCAUGUUUCAUACGUAUAUUUAUAUAGAAAAUAUAUAGAUUUAUGAGAUGAAUCACGCUUUAUAAAUCGGCAAUGUCAUCUCGGAUGGAGCGCCCUCCUUGGCAGCCGCCCGAGGCUCUCAUGACCUCGUCAAUGCUGCUCAUGUAAGCGGAUGCAUCCUUGCGCAAUUAUGCAUACAAUAAUCCGCAUCCAGAUACAAGUAUAAGUAUACGUGCACGGCUCUAAAGGAGCUCCCUUAGAGCCGUCCCUCUCAAGAGGCUUGGGGUUGCUCCAAAGGCCUCAUACAUCACGGUGGCUUACAUCCAAAACAUAUGUAGUAGUGACUAUUGACGUAGGGGAGUUUUUCUUCCCGUUCCAUAAUAUACACGGAUGGCACGCAUUGCAGUCAUCAUUAAUUAUAAUAAUACAUUGCGUAUUGCUCCAAGCUGAACUACAGAUAGGCUGCUGCUAAGGAUGGUUACCACAAAAUAGCGCCCUGCUGAAGGGGCGCUCCGUGACGUCGCCAACAUAACGACAUAAGUUUCACUAAUCUGCUGUGUGAACUUGUGUGUCAUGGACAUCACGUGUUUCUUACUUCGCACAGAGUCUUAAUGGGGGCCAUGUCGGUGAGCGCAGUCGACAUGUCAGGUACGGCGUGUUGGCGUCGGUUAUUGGUUUGUGUAGUUGUUACAGUGGGCUCGUGGUGAUUGGCCAGACGUGUGUUUAGCGAAGUUGGGAACCGCUAUGCAAUGUAAAUCGUCUUACGUCUCGCUACCUCAUCUUCCGACCAACACAGUAGUGAGUGCCUUACUCGCUGCCUUGAGGGCUUUCUGGGCUGUUACGACAUGAUGGUGACCGCCAGCUUGCCGCCGCUAAACUUACAAUCUGUUCGCUCGCCUUCACGCCUGGAAAGCCCUCCCAAGCUGUCCUUCGCCCCGUUUGUAAACACACACACAUAUAUACACGGCAUCGUCAGGAGUACCCCCGCGACCGCCCAGACUGCCUCCACCGUCGCCUCCGCCAAAUAGGGGUCCCUCCCCUCCCCACCCGCCUUCACCACGACCGUCCCCUGUACCACCAUCUCCUAGCCGGGCAGCUCCCCCCUUCCCACCAGCCCCACCCUCUCCAAGAGUCAGAUCGCCUCCACCCUGGCCCCCACCGCCAAGAUCACCCCGAGUUGUGCAACUCCGCAUGGCGCCAUUUCCCUCUCCUCCUCCUCCCUUUGGGCUGCGGCCCCCAUCUCCACCACCACCACCACCACCGCCACCGCCGCCGCCCCCCAUACCACCACCGGAACCCCCUCCCUUCCCACAGGUUUUCAUACGACUACCAUCACCGCCGUUGCCCUCCCCACCACAACCCCCGGACAUGCCUGAACAAUAUCCUCCUAAGCAGCCACAACCUCCAUCCAAGCCCCCUCGGCCCCUAUUGAACCAUCCAUCACAACCAUCGCCACCUUCACCUCCACCCAUACCCAGAUCUCCUCGCUCUCCACCCAGACCUCGUCGUUCAUCACCCACUCCUCCAACACCGCCGUCCCCGCCGUCUCCGCCGUCUCCCAGAACCCCAGGGCUGUUUCUGUCCCGUCCAACCCGUCCAACCCGUACAUCCACCAGGCCCCCAAAGCCAAGCCCCCGGUCGCGCCGGCCACCACCAGAUGGGCUUCCUCCACCAUCAACUAGUACACCCUCACCCUCGCACUCCAACAGGCGCCCAUGGCCUUCCCCGUCGCCCCUCUGGCCGACUUCCGUCUACAUACAACCGCCUCUCAACCCUCGACGCUCAUCACGCUUUCCACCCCUGCCUCUAAGACAGCCUCCAAGACUUUCUUUCCCUCCACCUAUCUCGCCCACCAAACACUGCCACCUUCUCCGCCCUCUCUGCCACGGCCCAGACCCCCUCAGCUACAGCCGAUGCCAAGCAGGUCUCCACCGAUGUCCGCAAGAGCACCCUGGCCCUC